rnacentral:lncRNA from 1 species
UCUUGUUCACACUGAGUAGGCCAAAGAAGAGGAAGGGUUGGUCUUGUCUCAGGGAUGGCAGAGAAGGACAAUCGCCAUUUAAGUGGACCCAUGGAGUUCAAACCUGUGUUGUUCAAGAGUCAACUGUAUGCAUUAUAUUAUUAUUAACUAUAGUCACCAUGCUGUGCAAUUCAUCUCAAAAACUUCUUCAUCCUAUCAAACUGAAACUUUACACCCUUUGACCAAUAUUUUCCCAUCCUCCUUUCCUUUAGCCACUUAUAAUCUUCAUUCUACUCUCCAUUUCUCUGAGUUCAACUUUUUAAAAAUAUGUAUAUUUUUAAUUGACAAGUAGAAGUUUUAUGUAUUUAUGGAGUACUACUGUUGCUUGGAUAUGGUGUGUUUGUCCCCACAAAAACUCAUAUUGCAACUUGAUUCUCAAUAUGGUGGUCUUGGAAGGUGGGGCCAAAUGGGAGGUAUUUGUGCAUGAGGGAUCUGUUCUCAUGAUGGCUUGGUGCCACACUUGAGGUAGCGAAUGAGUUGUCAUUCUGGCGAAACUGGAAUCAUUCUCAUAGGAAAGAAUUGGUUUCCCAGAUUCUGGGAAACAAAUCUACUGUUAUUGGUUGGAUUGUUAAAGAGUCUGACUUCUUCAAUUUCAUUCUCCCUGCAUCUUAUCUUGCACACACCCUGAUCCCCUUUUGCACACACCCUGUCCCCUUUUGCUUUCCUCCAAGAGUGAAAACUGUCAGAGGCCAUCACCAGUUACCCGACUCUGGACUUCCCUGACACCAGAAUCAUGAGCCAAAUAAUCCUCUUUUCCUUAUAAAUUAUCCAGUCUCAGAUAUUCUGUUACAAUAACCACAAAACGGACAAGACAGGUACAUGGAGAUGUUUUAAUGUAUGUAUACAUUAUGACAGUUGAGAAAUAUUAUCUAAAAACUACAGAUUGUUAAAAAUAACUGCUCAUUUUCUUUGUUGGUUCCAAUAUUUCAUUUUAGUGGUAUUUUUUGGAUUUAUAAGUAAUCAACUAUAUCAUCACAGAUUACUAAACGUAUAAAGUUUCAGGAAAAAGACGUGUAGUUUACCUGGUUAAUGGAGAUUUAUUAUAAUCAUGCAUAGAAACACAAAACACAAGUAACACUGAUUUCUUGUUAGUAAGAAUUUCAGAGAAAAUAUGUUUUGGCUGACUGGCAGGUGGUAUUGCACUUUGGAAUAGUAACUACUUUUUAAUUGAAGAGGAGCCUCUGAAAGCCACAGGUGCUGAUAUGGCCAGGAAUUAUUUUUUAUUUGCCAAUCAGUCUUUUUAUCCUAUUAUUUUCUGAUAACAUAUCUUGAUUGGGUGAAAGGGAAAAGGAGAGAAGACACUAGUAGAAGGGGGGGAUGAAGAAAAGAGAUGUAUGGAUGGAUGCAGGUGGCCGGUACUACACAUUUCAAAAUUUUGCCCAUGGUUUGCCCUUGUAUUCACUGAGGCUAUAAAAACACUUUCUGUCAGUUGCUGCCAGGCUAUGCUGGCUGACUUUACUUACAGGUUACUCUAAGAAGGUGAGAUCAAUCCUGUGAUGUGAUUCCAAAUCGAUUACUAAGUUAGACCAACACAAAAUAUAAGGAAUUUUCAGAGAGCUGAAAAAGGUAGACUAGAUAAUAGCAUCAAUUGUGCUUAUUUACUGAAUUGAGGCAGUAGCCUCUGGGAGCACCCCUGUAGAAUCUGAUGCCCACUCAAUACCUGUACCAAGCCCAUUAGGGAGAACUUCAGGGGAAUGCAUUUUAUCACUGACAUAAAAUAUCAACAUCUCCAUUACAAAUGUUCCUAUAACAAAAUUCCUGAGACAUAAACAAUUUUUUAACCAUAGACAUAUUUUAGCUAUUUGUAUACAUGUCUGCAAAUAUGCAUGGGUUUAUGUUUUUUGAAACAUUGCAGAAUGAUGGAAAAAAAGAUUCCAGGUUUGAACACUUAUUAUUUCAACUAUUUUUUCCUAUUGUUAUCCUGUAAGUCUAAUAAAAAUUCUCAUUUUUGGGACUAUAAGUAAGCAGAGCCAAUAGAUUUCCCAUUAAAACUAAUCUUUAUUAGCUCAAUUGAAUAUAAACCAAUAACAACUCAAAUUUGCUUCCUAAUUUAGUUACUAAAUAGUUUGAACUUUUGACUCCAACAAAACAAUACUUAGGUUUAUACAAAUAUUUACUAUUAGUUUUUGAACAUUUUAUCCAUUUAGUGUCAUUCAGUGUUCACCAGAAAUAUUAGGGAUGUAGAUGACCUGGUGUCAACAUACAAGUUCAUGUUUUACUGAUUUCCAGGUGUAUGCUUUAAUCACUCAAACUCUUUACCAGAGCAUAUUUACUUGAGUUAGCAUCAAAUUGCCUAGCCUGAGAAUUGCUCUUGCCUGAAUACUGUUAGCAAAAAAGUUCCUAUAAUAAGAAGUUUACAUGAAAUUUAUAUAGAUAUAAAUGUAGAUGUCUCUAUAGGUAGAUCAAUAGAUGUGGUAGUUACAAAAAAGUUCCUAUAAUAAGAAGUUUACAUGAAAUUUAUAUAGAUAUAAAUGUAGAUGUCUGUAUAGGUAGAUCAAUAGAUGUGAUAGUUACAAAAAAGUUCCUAUAAUAAGAAGUUUACAUGAAAUUUAUAUAGAUAUAAAUGUAGAUGUCUGUAUAGGUAGAUCAAUAGAUGUGGUAGUUACGUAGAGCAGCUAAUGAUAAUGAAAAAUAACUUUACUGUGAAUUAGAAAACCAUGUAAGAUUAGAAUUUAAAAAGUACAUGUUUACAAAAUUGCAUUUGACAUAAUAAAGAUUUAUCUGAAGUCAAGACCACUCUACCUAUAGCAAAGAUACCACUAACAAGGAGGUAUUGCCUCUAUCUUUUGAGGAGUAUGUAUGGUUUAUAUGUAUUUUUAUCUCUUUGUUUAUUCAAAAUGGCUCUCUCUCUUUUUCAGUAUAUUUUAUAU